GUGCGGCUGAAUUAUGUGAACCCGCUUCAGUACAACGCUCCGUAAAAAAGCGUUGAUUCUGUUGGAUUUGAUCUCUUUGCCUCGCCUCCAAACAGCACCGCACUCAACUGCGCAAGAAAGAAUCGAGUUUCGGAUCUAAGAAUGGGGAGAGGCAAGAUUGUAAUUAGGAGGAUCGAUAAUUCGACGAGCAGACAGGUGACUUUCUCGAAGCGAAGGAGUGGACUGCUGAAGAAGGCGAAAGAACUGGCGAUCCUUUGUGACGCCGAUGUUGGAGUCAUCAUCUUCUCCAGCACCAGCAAGCUUUAUGAAUACUCCAGCACCAGCAUGAAAACACUAAUAGAACGAUAUCACAAGACAAAAGAGGAGCACCAUCAGCUUGGGGUCUCGACUUCAGAAGUCAAGUACUGGCAAAGGGAAGCAGCAAUGUUACGGCAACAACUGCAGAGCUUACAAGAAAAUCAUCGGCAGAUGAUGGGUGAAGAGUUGACUGGUCUGAGUGUCAAAGAUCUACAGAAUCUAGAAAACCAACUGGAGAUAAGUCUCCGUGGUGUCCGUAUGAAGAAGGAUCAAAUCUUAAUGGAUGAGAUACAAGAACUAAACAGAAAGGGAAACCUAAUUCACCAAGGCAAUAUGGAACUUUAUAAGAAGGUAAACCUAAUUCGUCAAGAAAAUCUGGAAUUAUACCAAAAGGUCUAUGGAACAAAGGAUGCCAAGGGGGCAAGCAGUCUUACAAAUGGCCUGGGUGUGGGAGAGGAUGCAGGUAUACCUAUCAGCCUUCAACUCAGCCAACCACAACAACAAAACCUUGAGGCACCAGAAAAAGCAACAAAACUGGGGUACAAUUGCGACAAAAUGCAUAAAUGUUCAAUAAUGCGUACAAAUGAACUUUUCCAAAGUCACUAUUCCAAUCUUGUUCUUUUGAUGGUUGCAGCAGACUACAACGACGCUAGCAAAAAGAGACCUUACACCAACCAGGAAGAUGUUACUCAUUUUGCAUCAAGAAAACGGUGUGAGGCUGCAAAUUAUCUUUCAAUCAACGAAUUGUGGUAGGGUAAUGGACUAUUCCAUAACCAACGGAACUAGCUUUGUCUCGUUUGUGGUGAUUAAUACAAAGGAAUUUAUGUGAAGAGAAGGCUAUGUGGAACAAAAAAUAAUUGAAAUUGCAUCAGCAUACAAACUUCAUUUUCCAGAAAUCUUAAGAUUUGUUUUGUUCAAAGCCCUCCGUUUCCAAGUCAUCUUUUUGGGUAAGGAAAGAUAGAGAAGUUGUUAACUUAAAGUGGAAUUCUUUGCUGGUGGCUUCUCGAUUGAAUGUGCAUGAUGUUCGGAAAGAUAUUCAGAAGGCCAUAGAAGUUCACUUCAAAACCUUUGUUCUUCAUUAAUCCUUUUAUGGAUGAUAAAGUUUUACUUCAAUUGGAAGAUACAAAUUUUUUAGGUGAUCUUGGUCCAUUGGGUCAUUGGUAGCUGUUCUUUUUUGUUUUCAAACGUUGUCUUUGGUUUGGCUUUCAGUGCUGAGUUUGGUUUCUUUAAACUCUCUCUUCUAGUUCUUUUCUUUUCUUUUUUUUUUUUUUUUUUUUUUUUUGUUUUUGCUCAGCUCGCUUGGUGUUUCUUAUUGUAGAAGUUCCUUUCUAUAUCUUGUUCUUUCUUUUAUUCUCUGUAGUGGUUCUUUUUGUAUUCCUUCGUGUUUUAUUUUUAACUUCCUUGUGGAGUUUGUAUCCUUGAGCAUUAGUCUCUUUUCAUUUAUUCAAUAAAAAGUUACACAAUUGUAUAUGACAUUCAUCAUGGAAGGACGGAUAGUAUUUACCUCAUAUCUCCACUGCUCAACUACAGUAAACUAAUCCAGCAGU